AUGAUAAAUAAAGAUAUUGUCUCUCAAAAGAGAGAGUCGGUUCUGAAUCGCCGUAACGAGUCGUUAUAUUUUCAACUCUUUUGCCUGUUACUGUUACGUCACUGGGUAACACAUUUGCAUAAUCCCCGCCUGCCAGCGAAAUACGAACAGAGUCUGAUCUGCCCACAAACACUUUUGCUAUUAGUGCGUUUACAUCAUGUUGAGAAGACGCGGUGUUCAAGGAUACCACAGAAAUACAAUUCGAGCCUUUUGUUGUGUGCUUGUCAUUUUAUCAAUAACUGCUUCUCUAAUCUGGGCUUUUAUCUUCGUUGGCUUCUAAUCUUCUUAAUUUGGACUAACAAGCUCUCUGAACCACGACCUGUAAGUAGUACGAUUGAUACGUUAGGUGUACAUUUUCAAUUGAGUGCUCAAAAUAUAAUUUUUUUUGUGCCAAUAUGUAGCACGAUAUUACUGUCUUACUGAAGUAGUUCUAAAAAUUUGCAGUGAACCUAAGAAUAUGUCGAUUAUUGUAGACUGACGUUGUUCUAAUUACUUUGUUUAAUAAUAAAGAAUGUAGUGUAGCACACAGACUUUAUGAUAAUUGUGAAACUGCUGUUUAUUGUGCUGCACUGGCAGUUACAGGGUUAAUGCGGGAGAGAUGAGUGAUUUCGGCUGGUGCUCCUGUGAUACAACUGUUCUGCAUUCUGAUUAAAAGUUAAGACCAAGCGUCUUUUGUCUGUCGUUCUUCAAACAUUACAGUAGACAUAUUUUAGUUUACAAACUGUAUUGUUUAAUCAGUUAGUCACGUUAGCACUCGGCUAACGUAUCCACCUAGUGUUCACAGUUUAGCAGCUAAACUUUAGCUGUGGGCACGAUUCGCUUGCAUAAGUGUUUUUGUAUUUUAUGUCAUUAUAAGAAUGGAUUGACUAUAUUAUUGUUUUAUGUAAAGGUGCUUUGUCAAUGGUAGCACUGGCUAACUGGCUCAAGGACUCAUCUCUGUGCCAAUCACAACAGGUUUGGCCAGCUGACCAAUCAGAGCAAAGUAGGCUUGAGGAAGGGAGGGGCUUGCUCCGAACUUGCUUGAAACGAAUCAUUUCCUAAUCAUUGGCAAAUGACUCUAAUAUUAAAUGUAUAUUCUGAGAAAAUUACAAUGUUUUCUGACCUUAGAUGCAUUUAAACCUGAUGUAGGGGACUCCAAUACAAUAUUGGGACACUUUAAAAUACCAUCUGACCUGAUCUUUAAGUCCAACUUGUUCCUUCCUUGUUCCAUGUAGUUACAGGUUAAAUGCAACAUUUGCGGGCUGUAAAUUAAAGUGGUGCUUGUUCCCCCCUUGUUCCAUGUAGUUACAGUGUAAAUACAAUAUUUGCGGGCUGUAAAUUAAAGUGAUGCUUUGUUCACCCCUUGUUCCAUGUAGUUACAGUGUAAAUACAAUUUUUGUGGGCUGUAAAUUAAAGUGAUGCUUUGUUCACCCCUUGUUCCAUGUAGUUACAGGGUAAGUCGCAACAACAAAUUGUUCUGAAACAAUUGUUUAUACAGUAUAGGUCAUAAAUACUUACAUUAUAUAUCAGGUAAUAUAUCAAUAAACAUGGUGGACUGUUUUAUUUAAUUCAAAUAUUGUUUGAAAUUUACUAUAGGCCUACUGCUGGGCUAAAUGAACCCAAAAUGGCUUUUUUAAAUUAAAAUCACACACAAUAUGACAACAGUAACAACACAGACAACAGAUAGCCUAAAAAAAUAUUGAAAUGUAUUACAUCAAUUAAAAAAAAAAGAAAAAAAAGAAAAGCAAAUGCAUACUUAUACAGCUUAUACAGUUAAACCAAAUUCUUUUGAAAAGCUUGUUUAAGAAUACAUUUAAGACGUUUUUCAAUUUGUGUUCAUGUUUUUCACCCACUGACAAAGUUAAACUAUCAUGGCCAAACUAUAAUGCCCAUAAACAUACAGUAAUAAACACUGAAAGUCAAGAUUAAACUGUGUAUUAUAGCGAACUGACAGGAUUUUACCGUCUUUGAUUUUACCAUUUUUGAUCCACGUCCUCAAGCACCAUUUUGACAAGUUUACAGUUCCCGGUUUUACCACUCAUCAGCCGCUGCUCAAUGUUGUGAGAACAUACUCGGACAAAACCCUCCAGUUUUAAAAGAACACAUCUCUCUUCUCUUCGCUUCGAUUAGUUUUGUUGUAUUUUCGACACAAAUUCUUGUCAUAAGCGCCGCAAACACGGAGAGACUCGUCUCAUCUGCCAUUCCAGCUGUUUCCAUUUCACACUCACCACAUUCACUGCUCCAGUUUUAAAGGAACACACUCCAGACAGUUUCAAAGUUGUUCAUUGUCUGUGCUUUGAUUAGUUUUCUCCUAUUUUCCACACAUGUUCCCAUCUUAAGCACCGCAGUCACGGAUUUUGUCACACACAGAACGUCCUCGAGAUUCCUAACCCAGCACCGUCGAGAUACUUAUUACUAAUAUAAUUGGGUCAAAUCAAGCCAGCUUCCUAACCCAACAUUCUCAACUGAGCGUUUUGAUUGAAACAAUUACCAGCGUGUUUUAUAUGUGUAGGCUAUAAAAAAGUACACAGUGUAUGUUUUUGCUAAAUCGCUUGCGAAUAGAAGAUUGUUGUUUGGUCAAAC
ensembl:lncRNA